rnacentral:rRNA from 1 species
AGAACGAACGCUGGCGGCAUGCCUAACACAUGCAAGUCGAACGAGACCUUCGGGUCUAGUGGCGCACGGGUGCGUAACGCGUGGGAAUCUACCCUGGGGUGCGGAAUAACUCGGAGAAGUCCGUGCUAAUACCGCAUAAUGUCUUCGGACCAAAGAUUUAUCGCCCUGGGAUGAGCCCGCGUAGGAUUAGCUAGUUGGUGGGGUAAAAGCCUACCAAGGCGACGAUCCUUAGCUGGUCUGAGAGGAUGAUCAGCCACACUGGGACUGAGACACGGCCCAGACUCCUACGGGAGGCAGCAGUGGGGAAUAUUGGACAAUGGGCGAAAGCCUGAUCCAGCAAUGCCGCGUGAGUGAUGAAGGCCCUAGGGUGUAAAGCUCUUUUACCCGGGAUGAUAAUGACAGUACCGGAGAAUAAGCUCCGGCUAACUCCGUGCCAGCAGCCGC